rnacentral:rRNA from 1 species
CCUACGGGAGGCAGCAGUAGGGAAUCUUCCACAAUGGACGAAAGCCUGAUGGAGCAACGCCGCGUGAGUGAUGAAGGUCUUCGGCUCGUAAAGCUCUGUCGGCAGGGAAGAAAGAUAGCUGUAGUAACUAGCCUUUAAUUGACGGUAACUGCAUAGAAAGCAACGGCUAACUACGUGCCAGCAGCCGCGGUAAUACGUAGGUUGCGAGCGUUUAUCGGAAUUAUUGGGCGUAAAGCGCGCGUAGGCGGUCUGAUAAGUCUGAUGUGAAAGCCUUCGGCUCAACCGGGGAAUUGCAUUCGAAACUGUUGAACUGGAGUGCGUGAGAGGAGAGUGGAACUCCAUGUGUAGGAGUGGAAUGCGUAGAUAUCUGGAAGAACACCAGUGGCGAAGGCGACUAUCUGGUACGCAACUGACGCUGAGGCGCGAAAGCGUGGGUAGCAAACAGGAUUAGAUACCCUAGUAGUC